rnacentral:rRNA from 1 species
GAUGAACGCUAGCGAUAGGCUUAACACAUGCAAGUCGAGGGGCAUCGAGGGUAGCAAUACCUGUCGGCGACCGGCGCACGGGUGAGUAACGCGUAUGUAACCUGCCCGCAACAGAGGGAUAACCCGGCGAAAGUCGGACUAAUACCUCAUAAAACAGGGGUUCCGCAUGGGGCUAUUUGUUAAAGAUUUAUUGGUUGCGGAUGGGCAUGCGUACCAUUAGGUAGUUGGUGAGGUAACGGCUCACCAAGCCAUCGAUGGUUAGGGGUUCUGAGAGGAAGGUCCCCCACACUGGUACUGAGACACGGACCAGACUCCUACGGGAGGCAGCAGUGAGGAAUAUUGGUCAAUGGGCGAGAGCCUGAACCAGCCAAGUCGCGUGAAGGAUGACUGCCCUAUGGGUUGUAAACUUCUUUUACAGGAGAAUAAAAUGAGAUACGUGUAUUUAGUGCAUUACCUGGAA